UGUAGUAAUGAGCAUUAAUUAUUAAAAACUUUAGACUUAGCAAUAAAAAGUAAAGUCGGUAAAAAUCGUGCCAGCUACCGCGGUUAGACGAAGGACUUAAAUAAGAUUUAUUGGUGGAAUGUAGGAAAAUUUAAUUCACAUAAGUUCACUAAUAUUUUAAUUAAAAGUGAAAUUUUAAACUAAACAGAAAAAACUAAGAGAAUUUUAUUUUAUCUACUCAAAUAAGAUAAUAAACUAGGAUUAGAUACCCUAUUAUUCUUAUCUAAUUUUGCCAGGGUAGUAAAAGUAAAUCUUCAAACCCAAAGAAUUUGACGGCAUCUCACUCUUUCCAGAGGAACCUGUCCCGUAAUCGACAGUCCACGCUAAACCUUACCCUCUUUUAUUUAGUUUGUAUACCUCCGUUGCCAGAUAAUUCUCAAAAGAAAUUAUCUAAAUUAACUAUUUUACUAACUUCAGGUCAAGGUGCAGCCUAUAAGAGGGUGGUGAUGGGUUACAUUAAUAAUAAAUUAAACGGAAAUUUAAUGAAAAAUGAUUUAAGGUGGAUUUGGAAGUAAACUUACUUUAGUAAAGUAACUUGAAAAAGCUCUGAGAUGUGUACACAUCGCCCGUCGCUCUUCCUAAUAAAGGAAGAUAAGUCGUAACAUAGUAGGUGUACUGGAAAGUGCAUCUAGAAAGC
rnacentral:rRNA from 1 species